UACGAAGGGGGCUAGCGUUGUUCGGAAUUACUGGGCGUAAAGGGCGCGUAGGCGGUGUGUCAAGUCAGGCGUGAAAGCCCCGGGCUCAACCUGGGAAUGGCGAUGGAUACUGGCGGGCUAGAGUGCGGUAGAGGAGAGUGGAAUUCCCGGUGUAGCAGUGAAAUGCGUAGAGAUCGGGAGGAACAUCAGUUGCGAAGGCGGCUCUCUGGACCAGCACUGACACUGAGGCACGAAAGCGUGGGGAGCAAACAGG
rnacentral:rRNA from 1 species